rnacentral:rRNA from 1 species
AGCUCCAAUAGCGUAUAUUAAAGUUGUUGCAGUUAAAAAGCUCGUAGUUGGAUUUCUGUUGGGAGUCGCCAGUCCGCUCUUUCGAGUGUGCACUUGGUAAAUCUCAGCAUCCUCCUGGUGUUGCGUUCUGCGCUUAACUGUGCGGCUCGUAUUUCCAGGACUUUUACUUUGAGAAAAUUAGAGUGUUUCAAGCAGGCUCGUCGCCUUGAAUACUGCAGCAUGGAAUAAUAAGAUAGGAUUUCGGUUCUAUUUUGUUGGUUUCUAGGACUGAAGUAAUGAUUAAUAGGGACAGUUGGGGGCAUUCGUAUUUAACUGUCAGAGGUGAAAUUCUUAGAUUUGUUAAAGACGAACUACUGCGAAAGCAUUUGCCAAGGAUGUUUUCA